rnacentral:RNase_P_RNA from 1 species
GGCAAUCGAGCCGAAAGGUUAGGAAAGUCCAUGCUAGCACAAGCUGAGAUGCUUGUAGUGAUUGUGAUAGAGGAAACCAUAACUCUAUGCACGUAAGUGACGGCUGAGAACACACCUGUUAAAUGGUGUUAGUAUCUUUAAAAGUGCCACAGAGACGAGCUGUCUUAGAAAUGAGGCAGGUGGAACGGGUAAACCCCGCAAGCUAGAAACCCAAAUUUGGUAGGGGCACUUCAAUCCUGUAAAUGAACGGGAGAGGAGACGCAUAACUGCGUAGAUAAAUGAUUGCCACCCGUAAGGGGACAGAACAUGGCUUAUAA